AGAGUUUGAUCCUGGCUCAGGACGAACGCUGGCGGCGUGCCUAACACAUGCAAGUCGAGCGGAGACAGUGAGUAGCUUGCUAUGAGCUGUUUUAGCGGCGGACGGGUGAGUAACGCGUGAGCAACCUUUCCCAGACAGGGGAAUAACACACCGAAAGGUGUACUAAUACCGCAUAAGACCACGGAAUCACAUGGUUCUGAGGUAAAAGAUUUAUCGGUUUGGGGUGGGCUCGCGUCCGAUUAGGUAGUUGGUGAGGUAACGGCCCACCAAGCCGACGAUCGGUAGCCGACCUGAGAGGGUGAUCGGCCACAUUGGGACUGAGACACGGCCCAAACUCCUACGGGAGGCAGCAGUGGGGAAUAUUGGGCAAUGGGGGGAACCCUGACCCAGCAACGCCGCGUGGAGGAAGAAGGUUUUCGGAUCGUAAACUCCUGUCCUUGGAGACGAGUAGAAGACGGUAUCCAAGGAGGAAGCCCCGGCUAACUACGUGCCAGCAGCCGCGGUAAUACGUAGGGGGCAAGCGUUGUCCGGAAUAAUUGGGCGUAAAGGGCGCGUAGGCGGCUCGGUAAGUCUGGAGUGAAAGUCCUGCUUUUAAGGUGGGAAUUGCUUUGGAUACUGUCGGGCUUGAGUGCAGGAGAGGUUAGUGGAAUUCCCAGUGUAGCGGUGAAAUGCGUAGAGAUUGGGAGGAACACCAGUGGCGAAGGCGACUAACUGGACUGUAACUGACGCUGAGGCGCGAAAGUGUGGGGAGCAAACAGGAUUAGAUACCCUGGUAGUCCACACU
rnacentral:rRNA from 1 species